CGCUGGCGGCAUGCCUAACACAUGCAAGUCGAACGGCAGCACAGUGGUAGCAAUACCAUGGGUGGCGAGUGGCGGACGGGUGAGUAAUGCAUCGGGACCUACCCAGACGUGGGGGAUAACGUAGGGAAACUUACGCUAAUACCGCAUACGUCCUACGGGAGAAAGCGGGGGAUCUUCGGACCUCGCGCGGUUGGACGGACCGAUGUUCGAUUAGCUAGUUGGUAGGGUAAUGGCCUACCAAGGCGACGAUCGAUAGCUGGUCUGAGAGGAUGAUCAGCCACACUGAAACUGAGACACGGUCCAGACUCCUACGGGAGGCAGCAGUGGGGAAUAUUGGACAAUGGGCGCAAGCCUGAUCCAGCAAUGCCGCGUGUGUGAAGAAGGCCUUCGGGUUGUAAAGCACUUUUAUCGGGAGCGAAAUACCAUUGGCUAAUAACCGAUGGGGCUGACGGUACCCGAGGAAUAAGCACCGGCUAACUUCGUGCCAGCAGCCGCGGUAAUACGAAGGGUGCAAGCGUUAAUCGGAAUUACUGGGCGUAAAGGGUGCGUAGGCGGUUUGUUAAGUCUGUCGUGAAAUCCCCGGGCUCAACCUGGGAAUGGCGAUGGAUACUGGCAAGCUAGAGUGUGUCAGAGGAUGGUGGAAUUUCCGGUGUAGCGGUGAAAUGCGUAGAGAUCGGAAGGAACAUCAGUGGCGAAGGCGGCCAUCUGGGACAACACUGACGCUGAAGCACGAAAGCGUGGGGAGCAAACAGGAUUAGAUACCCUGGUAGUCCACGCCCUAAACGAUGCGAACUGGAUGUUGGUCUCAACUCGGAGAUCAGUGUCGAAGUAUC
rnacentral:rRNA from 1 species